rnacentral:rRNA from 1 species
UACGGGGGAUGCGAGCGUUAUCCGGAUUUAUUGGGUUUAAAGGGCGCGUAGGCGGGACGCCAAGUCAGCGGUAAAAGACUGCAGCUAAACUGUAGCACGCCGUUGAAACUGGCGACCUUGAGACGAGACGAGGGAGGCGGAACAAGUGAAGUAGCGGUGAAAUGCUUAGAUAUCACUUGGAACCCCGAUAGCGAAGGCAGCUCCCCAGGCUCGAUCUG